rnacentral:lncRNA from 1 species
CUGAGGGCGAGAGAGUUCUGGGCAGUCAUGGCAACUGUUGCCAAGGGAAUCGGAAUGUUGGGAAAGUGACAAUGGGGCAGUUAGGCAGGGGAAGGGGGAAGAGAAGAGAAGAGCAGGAAGAGUGGGCUAGGAAGGAAGAAGAAAGUGUUGCUGUGAGUUUGUGAAGCACAUUCAGUGAGGGGACCCUGCAGCCAAGUUCCAGGUGUGACUGUGGUAGAUAGAGGCAGGGAGGAAAAAUAAUGGCAGGAGAGAGAAGAGCUGUAAGGUGAAUUGGGAUUUGGCUAGCAGCGAUGCCAAGGAGCUACAUCACAUUCACAGGAAUAGCCAGGGGACGUCACAACAUCCUAAGGAACUGGACUGGGGGAAAUGACUGCAGUAUUAGUUUAUUGCACAAGACAGGAUUUGGUAUUGUAAGGGCAUUUUAUGCUGGAGAAAAGUUAUUCUGUUCCUCCUUUAUAAUAAAAGUAAUUUUAACAGACGUGGUUUUCGUCGGCUUCCAAACGCCUUUCUCAGAGUGUGUAUUUGGAGCGUGGUCUCCCACUCACCAUCUCUUCCUGUGAGAUUCUGACAAUGAGAUGAACGCUUGCUCUCUCGCACUUAUUCACACAUGAUUGGAUCAGGCUCCCCAUUGAUAGGAGAAAUAAAAUAUGUUGCAGUAAAGUCAUGCCUUUAUCUCAGUGAUGGCCAAACUUGGCCCUCCAGCUGUUUUGGGACUACAACUCCCAUCAUCCCUAGCUAACAGGACCAGUGGUCAGGGAUGAUGGGAAUUAUAGUCCCAAAACACCUAGUUAAAUAAGGUGUCUAUUUUAGAGGUGUGGACUUUCCAAGACGCAUCAUUUGCUGUUUUGACAAUGUGCUGUACACAUGCUAGUGUACCAAUAUGGCAAGAAGCACAAUAAAAACGAAUUUAUAAAUAUUUGGGGUUUGAAACUUGAAAUAACAAUCACAGAAUGAGUCAAGCAUUAUUUUGAGAGAGAUCAUAUUUGCCAGAUUGCUAUUUCUAGUUCAUCUGGUCUGCAUGUGAAAGCUAUAAAUUUCAGUGGAACAUACUUUUAUCAAAGAAGUCUACCUUUCAAACAUAUAAACGUAUCAUCAUCUUGUAGGCAUUAGCAAAGAAAAAGAUGCUGGUAGAAGGGGCGCGUAUUUCCAGCUGUCCAGCUGCAAAUAAUCUGAAUUACACUUUCAUCCUGAGCAAGGUGGAAAAUGCAACCCCAAAUAAUCAGCUUUUUUCAUUUGCAGGCUUACAACACUUGUUCAGCUUGGAAACAACUUUGCAGAUAAAUAAUGUUUGGAAGGGACAAGCUUCUUCUCUAUAGGAUCUUUGAUGGGUCAACUGACAGCACAUUCUUUGCCAUAAUCUCCAAGGACCCUAAGAAACCUGUCUGGUUGCAUGACAAUAUUCAUGUGACUUGAUUAACCAAGAUCUAUUGGAUUCAAGUAGUCUGCUCAAGAACAUAGAACACAUAAUAACUUUCAGCAUAAAUGGUCAAGGUCACACCAGUAAGUCCUAAAACUGAUCCAUUACAUGCAUGCCCUAGUGCAGUGCUCGGGAACCUGUUGUUGCCAGUCUAAUUUAAUGCAGUUCUCUGGGACACUGCAGGUUCACUAUAGCUGCCCAGUUCACCUCCUUGGGGUCAUUUCUUCUCCUGUUUUGUGAAUGUGAGAGAUAGGGGUAGAGAGGUAGAGAAGAUGUAGCUGCUACACAAUAAGGCUGGGUGAAAAAAACUUGGCAGGAAACUGGAGGGUUGGGGAAGCCUGGGGUGGGGAGGGGGGAAGGUAGAAAGGGGGAAAUGGAAAUGGAUGAAACAAUGGAAGGAAAGCCAACUGCAAGCAGUCACUUGUAAUCUGUGUUAGUGGAGGAGGGCAAGGCAGUAUGAGAAUGUAAACUGGAUGGAGAGAGGGAGGGGGAGCAGAGAAAGGAGGAGAGAUAUGGGGUGUAAGUGAGCAAAUUUGCUAUGCAAUCCUGCAAAUUGCCCACUUUGGGCUCUCAUCCUGUACAAGUGGCAUGUGGCCUUUGACAGAUUACUUCUGAAGGAAUGGGUGACCAGUAAUAUAAGACCUACCAUGAGCAGCUGCCUCUGACUCUCUGGGAAGUAACUGGGAUCAAGCCUGGAUCUUCCAGGAUCAGAUCCUAUAACCUAGUUUUCAAGUAGUGCACAAACUACAGUUUCUUGGUUCAGACCUCACAAGGUACUGUAACUUAACAAACCACAAUAUAGAUGUCAACAUCAAGCAGCUUGAAUAGAAUAUAUUUUCAUGAAACACCUUGAUUGAAGACACUGCACAGUUGGCCAAAACUUCUAUUUAUAAGUUACUGUUUUACAGACUUCUGUUUUAAAGGUGAACUGUGGAAGCAUUUUACUCCCACAGGAAUACAAAACCUCAUAAAAUGUUAAUAUAGCCUUGGGAGAGUGGUGUUUCUAACAACAACAACAAAAUCAGUUGGUUGCAGCCACACAAAUGGCAUCAGAGAGAGAAAGAGGUAAAAUAUAAUGGGAAGUACAGUAUGAAGAUCUGAAAAAGCAUAUUCCACAGAAACUGAGAAGCAAAUAAAUUUUUUUUUGCUAUUGAUCUUCACCCUGCUGCAGCUGUCCUUUUGAUUCCUGCUUUCUUCUUGUCUUCCAGGAAUGUAUCAUGUGGUGGUGUGUUUACAGAAUACUUUUGCCCUUUUGUAUUGGUUCAGAUAAGUGCUGCACAAACAAUUCUUCAUAGUUACACCAGUAUUACAACAUAAUGCUAGAACUCUGACUUCUCAGAAAACUUUCCUGCAACUUUCGUUCAUUAGUGAAAUAUUGCAACACCUUCCAUUUUGAACAAAGAGUUAUGUGGCACAUUAAAGAUCUUUUUAUUAUUAUUGUG